GACGAACGCUGGCGGCGUGCUUAACACAUGCAAGUCGAACGAAGAGCGAUGGAAUCUUGCUUCUAUCCAUCUUAGUGGCGAACGGGUGAGUCACGCGUAAUCAACCUUCCCUUCAGAGGGGGACAACAGUUGGAAACGACUGCUAAUACCGCAUACGCUCUAAACUCGGCAUCGAGGAGAGAUUAACGGUGGCCUCUACAUGUAAGCUAUCACUGCAGGAGGGGAUUGCGUCUGAUUAGCUAGUUGGAGGGGUAACGGCCCACCAAGGCGAUGAUCAGUAGCCGGUCGGAGAGGAUGAACAGCCACAUUGGGACGGAGACACGGCCCAGACGGCUACGGGAGGCAGCAGGGGGGAAUCUUCCGCAAUGGACGAAAGUCUGACGGAGCAACGCCGCGGGAGUGAUGACGGCCGUCGGGUUGGAAAGCUCUGUUAAUCGGGACGAAAGGCCUUCUUGCGAAUAGUGAGAAGGAUUGACGGUACCGGAAUAGAAAGCAACGGCUAACUACGUG
rnacentral:rRNA from 1 species